UACGUAGGGGGCAAGCGUUGUCCGGAUUUAUUGGGCGUAAAGAGCUCGUAGGCGGUUUGUUGCGUCGGCUGUGAAAUCCCCGAGGCUCAACCUCGGGUCUGCAGUCGAUACGAGCAAACUAGAGUGUUGCAGGGGAGACUGGAAUUCCUGGUGUAGCGGUGAAAUGCGCAGAUAUCAGGAGGAACACCGGUGGCGAAGGCGGGUCUCUGGGCAACAACUGACGCUGGAGGAGCGAAAAGCGUGGGGAGCGAACAGG
rnacentral:rRNA from 1 species